CGAGCUGCACCCCCCCGCCUCCCAGCCCCCCAAGUGGGUCCCCAUUGGCGGCCCAACAAAGCCCACCACCACCACGGAGCUGAGCACCCCCCCGUCGCCGCAGCCUGACGACCCCAAAGCGCCCCAUAGCGCCGCAGAGCCCAAAGCCGGGACCCCCCCUCCAAACCAAGUCAACACGGGGGCACCCAGAGGUGACGGCACCGACGGCAAGGCCUCGACGCCGGAUGGCAACAAAGCCACCGCCCCGGUGUCACCGACCACCAACGAGACCCAACCGGCCCCAUCGGCAUCACCCAACCGCACCGAAGCCAAAGCGGCACCAACCAGCCCCAAAGGGAGCUCUGAUGGCAAAGCCGGCACGGCACCGGCGCUCACCGGUACCACCGGUACCACCGGUACCACCAGUACCACCGGUAGCACCGAAGAAGCCAAACCGGUUCCGACACAUGGAGGUCCAAGAAGCAACAAUCAGACGGCGCCGGUGACGCCACCCAAGGCCGGAACCGCGGCACAACCAAUAGGGCCCAAAGCCAACAGCACCGCCACGGUGACACCACAACAGGCCGCCAACACCAACAUGGCGACACCACAACAGGCCACCAACACCAACAUGGCGACACAACAGGCUGCCAGCACCACAACGGUGACACAACAGGCCGCCAUCAAGGCCAACACCACGAUGGCAACACCGCAACAGGCCAACACCGCGACGGCAACACCACACCAGGCCGCCAACACCGCCAUGGUGACACAACAGGCCGCCAUCAAGGCCAACACCGCGACGGUGACGCCGCAACAGGCCAACGCCGCGAUGGCGGCAACGCAACAGGUCAGCACCAAGGACAGCUCCGCGAUGGGGGCAAUGCAACAGAUCAGCACCAAG
ensembl:lncRNA